CCAGCAGCCGCGGUAAUUCCAGCUCCGCAAGUGUAUUCCUAUACUGUUGCGUUUAAAUAGCUCGUAGUUGGAUCUGCGUGUUUAGCGCGCGGUGCCAUUCACUUUGGCUACUGUGACGCGACACAGAGGCGCUUAUUGUCACGAUGCUCUCGCGAGUGUCGUGGUCAUGAGCGAAGUUUACUUUGAACAAAUCAGAGUGCUCAAGACGGGCGUUUCGCUCGAAUGUUCUUGCAUGGAAUAAUGGAAUAGGACCGCGCGUUCUAUUUUGUUGGUUUUCGGGACGCGGGUAAUGAUUAAGAGGGACAGACGGGGGCAUUUGUACUGCGACGUGAGAGGUGAAAUUCUUGGAUCGUCGCAAGACAGACUACUGCGAAAGCAUUUGCCAAGA
rnacentral:rRNA from 1 species